rnacentral:sRNA from 1 species
CAUUUAUUUACCUGCAAUUUUUACGACGUACAUUACCGGCAUCGUCUUCCCUCCUGCACCAUGCUUCACCUCAUCUGCUUUGAUCGGCUCUAUUUGGCGAGACGCUUUCUGGAGACAAACUGCUAUGCCGUGAUCCCCUCCUCUGACCCCGCCAGCAGGUCGCACACUCUGGUGGCUAGGAAUACCUCUUGAGUGCCCGCGGAUACCGAUAUGACCAGGGGCAUCAUCACCUUUUUGGUCUUCCGGUUCAUAUAAGCAAGUGUGCGCCUGAUGAUGUCUGUCCAAUUCAGGCGCCUGACCAGCUGACAUCGCGAACUCCCAGCCGGCUCCCGCGCACGGGGCCAAGAGCCAUGUGUGCCUCUCGAGCCAUGAUUCUUGUUGCUUUUUGUCCGACAUUUUGGUCCGGCAACUGCCAUGGCCAUCUUCCUUGCGUCCCCCGCUGUUUUCUCCUCCACUGGUGAUUCCGCCGUAGUUCCUCGUCCUCUGUGACAGCCACUGGCUUGCCUGUCCUGAUGCCGCUGCAACGUUAGUGAUGAUCAGUGAGCUGCAGUGAUCGACGGCGGAGUUGUUGGUUAACGCCAACGGGAAAUAAUGUCAUUCAUUAUUUCCCCCCCAUUCAUAAGCUGCCGAAUGAAACGCUGGGCUUCAGCUUCGAGACGCGGGUUUUUGGAGUCCUUAGCGAAGUAUCAAGGAUAUUUUUCCAAAUACACGAACCUAUGGAACGGCCAGAUCGGCCCACAAAUAACGAAGAAAACAGGAAAAAUAUGACUGCAGAAAAUAUCCUGGAUCUUUGGCCCAUGAGUACUGGUUUUUUCUGAA